rnacentral:rRNA from 1 species
CCUACGGGAUGCAGCAGUGAGGAAUAUUGGUCAAUGGGCGCGAGCCUGAACCAGCCAAGUAGCGUGAAGGAUGACUGCCCUACGGGUUGUAAACUUCUUUUAUAUGGGAAUAAAAUGUUCCACGUGUGGGAUUUUGUAUGUACCAUAUGAAUAAGGAUCGGCUAACUCCGUGCCCGCAGCCGCGGUAAUCCGGAGGAUCCGAGCGUUAUCCGGAUUUAUUGGGUUUAAAGGGAGCGUAGGUGGAUUGUUAAGUCAGUUGUGAAAGUUUGCGGCUCAACCGUAAAAUUGCAGUUGAAACUGGCAGUCUAGAGUACAGUAGAGGUAGGCGGAAUGCGUGGUGUAGCGGUGAAAUGCUUAGAUAUCACGAAGAACUCCGAUUGCGAAGGCAGCUCACUGGACUGCAACUGACACUGAGGCUCGAAAGUGUGGGGAUCAAACAGGAUUAGAUACCCGGGUAGUC